rnacentral:rRNA from 1 species
AUGGAUAUAACAGAAAGGCGAACGAAUUUCCACUGGAUUUCUUGUUAUGUACUCCGGCUUGAUUGGUUAGACCUGGCUGUUGGCCGCGGCCGCCGGCUCGACGCGGGUCUGCGCCGACCUGAGCAUGAAGCCACCAACCGACUUGUCGUGCUCGUCGUCGUCGUGGUAGACGUAGGCGAACCCGCCGUGCCGGGUCAGGUCCAUGCCGGCCAUCUCGUCCUCGGCCGAGAUGCGGAGCAGGCCCAACUUCUUGAGCGCGAAGAAGAGCGGGCCCAUGGUGCAGCUCACGAACCCGGCGAUCACGAGGAUCUGCACGAUGUGCGCCGCGAGCAGCCGCCCGCCGCCGCCCAGGAACAGCCCGUACGGCCUGCCGGCGCCGUAGAUCUCCUCCACGUACUUCUGCUUGGCGAACAGCGCCGUGAAGAUGAUCCCCCACGCGCCGCAGCCGCCGUGGAGCUGCGCGGCCUCCAGCGGGUCGUCGUACUUGAGGCGGCCGGCGAGCGCGUUGAGCCCGAUGAGCACCCACGCCGAGACGAAACCGCAGAUGACGGCGGCCCACGGGUCGACCACGCUGCACCCGGCGGUGAUGGCCGCGAACCCGCCGAGCAGGCCGUUGCAGACGUCCACCACGUUCCAGUGCCCCGUCUGGAGCCGCUUCCCGAACAGCGUCGUAAGCGCCGCCACGCUGCCCGCCAGCGUCGUCGUCACGGCGGUGCGGCCCACGCCCGACCACUGCCCGUUGAUGCUCCCGGGGGGGCCGUACGACUUGAGGAUGGUGACGAAGGACCCCGGGUUGAACCCGUACCAGCCGAACCAGAGCAGGAAGGUCCCGAGCACGACGAGCGACGCGCUGUGGCCCUUGAGCGCCACCGAGCGGCCGGCGUGGUCGAAACGGCCGAUGCGGGGCCCCUCGAUGAGCGCGCCCCAGAACCCCGCGAUGCCGCCGACCAUGUGCACGACGCCGGAGCCGGCGAAGUCGAUCACGCCGGACUUGAAGAGCAGCGGGCCGGACGUGCGGGCCGCGGAGGCCCAGCCGUCCACGGACCAGAUCCAGUGGGACACGACCGGGUAGACGAACCCGGUGAGGAAGGCCGAGUAGAUGAGGUAGGCGACGAACUGCGUCCUCUCGGCGAUGGAGCCGGAGGUGAUGCCGGCGGCGGCGAUGGCGAAGGCCCACUGGAAGAGGAAGAAGCUGUAGUCGAAGCCGGUCUGCGGCAUGUCCUUGAGGCCGAAGAAGUGCUUCCCGAUAAACCCGUUGGACGGCGUGCCGAAGGCGAAGGCGAAGCCGAAGAGGUAGUAGAAGAGCGCGCCGGCGGCGGCGUCGAGCACGUUUGUGAGCAUGAUGUUCAUGGUGUUCUUGGCCCGGACGGAGCCGGCGCAGAGCAUGGCGAAGCCGAGCUGCAUGGCGAAGACGAGGUAGGCCGAGAAGAGCAGGUAGGUCGAGUCCACCGCCGACGUGGUGUCGGCGAACCUGUUGCACAGGUAGUCCGUGGCGUUCAUCGCCGCCGCGCCCAGCAGCGGCGCCAGGUCCGCCGCGCACGUCGCCGACAUUUCCGCGGCGCCCCUCUACUUAGGAAAGUGGUUGGUGUUCAGCGAUCGGAACUGGCAAGUCGGGAUUGGCGUUGGCGUGAGGAGGCUGGCUGGGGGAACCAACCGGUGGCGUCUGAUUUAUAG